rnacentral:rRNA from 1 species
GUAGCAAGGUUAACCGUAUAGGGGAGCCGCAGGGAAACCGAGUCUUAACUGGGCGUUAAGUUGCAGGGUAUAGACCCGAAACCCGGUGAUCUAGCCAUGGGCAGGUUGAAGGUUGGGUAACACUAACUGGAGGACCGAACCGACUAAUGUUGAAAAAUUAGCGGAUGACUUGUGGCUGGGGGUGAAAGGCCAAUCAAACCGGGAGAUAGCUGGUUCUCCCCGAAAGCUAUUUAGGUAGCGCCUCGUGAAUUCAUCUUCGGGGGUAGAGCACUGUUUCGGCUAGGGGGUCAUCCCGACUUACCAACCCGAUGCAAACUACGAAUACCGAAGAAUGUUAUCACGGGAGACACACGGCGGGUGCUAACGUCCGUCGUGAAGAGGGAAACAACCCAGACCGCCAGCUAAGGUCCCAAAGUCAUGGUUAAGUGGGAAACGAUGUGGGAAGGCACAGACAGCCAGGAUGUUGGCUUAGAAGCAGCCAUCAUUUAAAGAAAGCGUAAUAGCUCACUGGUCGAGUCGGCCUGCGCGGAAGAUGUAACGGGGCUAAACCAUGCACCGAAGCUGCGGCAGCGACACUAUGUGUUGUUGGGUAGGGGAGCGUUCUGUAAGCCUGCGAAGGUGUGCUGUGAGGCAUGCUGGAGGUAUCAGAAGUGCGAAUGCUGACAUAAGUAACGAUAAAGCGGGUGAAAAGCCCGCUCGCCGGAAGACCAAGGGUUCCUGUCCAACGUUAAUCGGGGC